rnacentral:rRNA from 1 species
AGCGAACGCUGGCGGCAGGCUUAACACAUGCAAGUCGAGCGGGCGUAGCAAUACGUCAGCGGCAGACGGGUGAGUAACGCGUGGGAACAUACCUUUUGGUUCGGAACAACACAGGGAAACUUGUGCUAAUACCGGAUAAGCCCUUACGGGGAAAGAUUUAUCGCCGAAAGAUUGGCCCGCGUCUGAUUAGCUAGUUGGUGAGGUAACGGCUCACCAAGGCGACGAUCAGUAGCNGGUCUGAGAGGAUGAUCAGCCACAUUGGGACUGAGAUACGGCCCAGACUCCUACGGGGGGCAGCAAUUAGGAAUCUUGCGCAAUGGGCGAAAGCCUGACGCAGCGACGUCGCGUGGGGGAGGAAGGCUUUCGGGUUG